CUGCAUGAGCCAUUUCUUUGAUAUAAAUCUAUAUAUAUAUAUAUAUAUAUUUAUAACCUUUACUGGUUUUGCUUCUCUAGAGAACCCAGCUUAAGACAGUUGCUAUGAGGGUAAGUCCAGUAGAAUUUUCUAAAAUACUGUCAACCAGAAUUAAGUUUGUAUUACAUUUAUUGGCGCAUAAGAUGUCUCAGAAAUGGUAAUGUUUAGUACUGUAAGGGAUUGUUUAGACCUUUCUGUAAUUCGACUUUAGGGAUAUUAUUUAUGAUUACAGAGUUUCUUUGCAUAAAGCCCUGAUCUUCCAUACAAGAGAGUAUGUGUCUAUCAAACCAUGUGCCUGCCAUUUGUAUUCCAAUAACGCCCCUCAUGGACCACACAGACAAUAUGAUGAUGAUGAUGAUAUGAGCAUGUAGGUAAUGAUGCAGGUGACAAUAAUGAAGAUGGUGGAUAGAAAGACAGAUUACAGAAAUCAUAUCAUGGUCCAAAGACUAGGAUACAAUCAUGGUAAGUACAUGUCAUUGUUACAAUUUCCACAGGUAAAAAAGUCCGAAGAAGUGGUUUAAAACUCGUUUUUCCUUUCUUUAUUUUAAUCGAGACAUCACUGACAAUCUAACAAAAUUGCUCAUGUAGGCAAAGUAUUUCUGAGAAUAUAGGAACUUCAUAGAGAGCCAUGUCCAUGACCUCCAGCAUGAAUCAUGUCCCCUUCUAAGUAAGGAGGUUUUAACCUGGGAUCCGUGGACACCAUGGGGAACAUGGAUGGAAUUCAGAAUUCAAAUGGGAAAAAUAUAUCUUUAUUUUCACUAAUCUCUAACUGAAAUAUAACACUUCUUUCUGUGGUAAGUGUAGGGAAUAAGCCACAGUAGUAUUGAUACAGCCUGCAACAAAGUCACUAAGAGAAAUCAAAGAUAUUUUUGUAUCAUAUUACAAUUGAUAUGGAUGCCACAGAUAUUUGCAUAUUAUACUAACUUAGAUAAACACAAGUUAGCUUAUCACUGCUAAGAAAUCAUGACAUUUCAGGCAAACCAUGAUACGUUUUGUUAAAUGAAAUUUAAAGUUGUACAUAUAUUAACAUAUCAUAAAUUUUAAAAAUAUAUUUUGGUAACUGCAUUUCAAAAUAGUUAGUUUCCCUUGUAAUAGUAUAUAUUCUACUUAAUGCAUUUAAAACAUUCUUCUGAGAAGUUUCUUAGGUUUCAUUAGACUGACAAAGGGGUCUAGGACAAACAAGGUUGAGACCCCAGUAUAAGGAAUGAGACCCUCAACCUCGAAGAUGUGAUGGAGAGCUUGGAGCUGAUUCCCCCACGGAAGCAGCCUUGCCAGCAGACGUUCUCUCUCCAGGUUCUCCUCACACCUCUGCACCUCCUCGUGACUGUCACUCUGCAUCCUGACCUUGAUUCCUCUCCUCUCCCCUCUCCCUCCUCUCACUCUCACUCUGCCCCCCCCUUCCCUGUCCAUCUUACUUGCACACACACACAUGCGCACACACACGCAGAAGCUCAGGCACACGGCAAGUGAGUGCGUCUUCUGCCUUCCUUCCAGGAGGGGGCAGCAUCAGAUUCUAGGCCAAGGAUGUCAACCAAAGUUUCACCAUAAAUACAUCUUUUAUUUCAGGGGUCCUUAUAUUGUUCACUUUUUUUUGUUGUUGUUAGAUUGGUCUUCUAAAUAAAGAGCAUUCGCUAAGAACUAGUUAAUCUGUGAUCUCAUUUUCAGUUAUCUAAGACUAUUGGGAACGACCUGUGUUAUAUAAUGAGAAUGACACAGUGUAUAAAUUUCAACCUACUGGUGGGAACGGUAAAUAGUGGUUAGCUGCCACAGUUCUAUAUCAAGGAAAUGUCUGAUUUUCCUUGAAAUAUUAUUGACUUCCUCUGUCUCCGUGGAUUAGAACACCAGCUUGGAAAUCUCAGAGCUAAACAUAGUCCAGAAAAUAAUGGCAAACACAAAUAACGUGCUUAUUAUAUGUGGGGGAAAAAAAAGUUGCCAUGGAGUUGACUCCAACUUAUGGCAACUCCACAUGUGUCAGAGUAGAACUGCACUCCAUAAGCUUUUCAGUGACUGAGUUUUCAGAAGUAGAUUGCCAGGCCUUCCUUCCGAGGUUCUUCAGAGUAGACUUGAACCACCAACCUUUCAGUUAGCUGUCAAUUAUAUUAAUGAUUAUGCACACCACCCAGGGACUCCAAUAAAAAGCGCUAGUGGCCUAUAAGUAUAAAAAAAUAUGUUCAGUCUCCCAAGUAAGCAGAAAAUUGCAAGCAUAAUGACUAUGAGCUACAGUUUUAACUUACUAACAAAACCACUAAACCCACUGACAUGGGGUGGAUUCCCUGCAGGGUUGCUAAGAGUUUAACCUAAUAGAUGGGCAGAGUUCAAAGUGUGUCAAACAGCAAUUGCCGUCCUAUAUGUGGAGCAUUUGCAAGCUCUCCUCCACUGUUGGGAGACUACUGAUUUGUGUUACUUACUUUAGAAAACGUUUUGUUAUUAUGCAAACUUGACCUGCUGACUCUAAGACUCAGUCUUCCCUUUCACAUAAAGGGACCCUCUUGCACAUACGUGAGAAGAACAGGUACAAGAGUGCAGUGCUGCGUAUAGUAGCUGAAACCAGGGAAAAAGUCAGCAUUAAUAUAAGACUGGGUAACACGUCUUAGCAAACUCAUACAACGGAAUGCUGUGAAGACCGUGGGAGGUUGCUGAUGCAGAUGAGCAGCCUUAGAGAGAGACCACCAGCCCUGCCUUCCCUGACCAGCAUGGGCCCCAUAGUUCUCUACCUGGCGGUCCUGUGUUUCCUGGGAGCAGGCUCCAUGGAAACGGAGGUUACCCAGACUCCAAGACAGCUGGUCAAAGCAAGACAGCAGACAGCAAAGAUGGAUUGUGUCCCUAUGGAAGGACACGCUUAUGUUUUCUGGUAUCGUCAGAAGCUGGGAGA